UCUUAUGCAGAGGAUGUCAAUCAACAAAUACACCUUUAUGGGUACAAGUGGGCAUUGCAAUGUCUUUGCCUGCACAAAAGUUACGUAAACACUUCCUUCCCCUUUACCCAACUCUAGACCCAGGUGAUAUUUUCAAGGGUUUCUGUUUUUUGUUGAUUUUUUUUUAUUUAAAAUUCAGCUGAUUCAUUCAUUGAUGUUCAAUGGAUGAGGAGGAGAGAAAGAAGUAUCCAUCACUUCCUCCGGAUUAUGUUUCAUUGGUCCAACUCAAAGAGCGAUGGCUCCAGAAACAAGAGGAAGAGAGGAACGGGAAUGAAAAGCGCAAGAAACAAGAAGAAAUACAAAGGUUAGAAGAGGUCCAGAAGCCAAAAAACGAAAAUGAUCAUAGAAUUGCAAAGGAUUAUAGGGAUAGGAAAAAUGAGAAGAAAGUGGAGGCUCAUUCUGCGGGAUAUGGACGGCGGCAGAGAUUGGAAAAAGAUGAACAAAAGAUGAGAGUGAAAAUAGGAGGUUCUCGGGGUGAGGGAAAAAUGGGUGGAAUCGACAAGGAAAAGAAAAAGAAAAAGAAAUAUCGGCAGAAGAAGAAAAAAAAUUGGGCGGUUGGGGAGAAUGGUGGCGGAGAUACAGAGAGAGUAGUGAUUGAAAAUCAGGAGGAAAAGGAAAUUCCAGGAAAUGGGAAUAGUUGUAAUGAUGAGUGGAUUCACGGUAAAAUUGAGAAAAACGUUCUUGAUUGCGCUGAAAUUUUGUCGAGAAAUGAGGUAGUUGGAAUUCUGGAGGGAUCGAGCAGAAAAAGCAGUGUGAAAGAUGGUUUUUGUGGUGAAUUACAAGAAACUGAAGGAACAUUCAGUGCGAGUACUGUGGAGGUUUUGGCGGAAAAUGGAGGGAGGGAGAAGAUGGGGGUGUUUAGCGGAAAAAUAUGGAAGAGAAAGGAAUAUAGAGGUGGGUUCAAGAGGAAUGAUAAAAAUGGGAAGACCGAAUACAAGAUGAAAGAAAAGAGUGUCGAAAAAAAUGAAUUGAAGGGCAGUGGAGAAUUGUCAUUAGAAAAGAAGGAAAAAGAGAGAACUGAGUUUCAGAGGGGGGCCCCAGGGGAACAAAAUGGGAACGAAAAGGGAUUUAGAGGUGGAUUCCAGAGGAAUGAUAAAUAUUGGAGGGCAAGCACGAUGAAAGAAAAGAGUGUUGAAAUAUAUGAAUUGAAAGACACCGAAGAAUUGGCAUCAGAAAAGGAGACAGUGAGAAAUGAGUUUCAGAGGUGGGCUCGAGAUGAAAAAUAUAGGAACCAAAAUGGAUUUAGAGAUGGGUUCCAGAGGAAUGAUAAAAAUGAGAGGACGAAAGGAAAAAGUAUUGGAAUAGAUGAGUUGAAGGGAAGUGAAGAAUUGGCAUCAGAAAAGAAGGAAGGAGAGAGAAAUGAGUUUCCGAGAAAUGGAAAGAACAGGGGAAGGGAUUACAAGGUCAAAGGUUAUGGAGUUAAAGGGGAAGAUCUAAAUGGCACUGGUGUCACACCUGAGAAGGUGGCAGAUGAUGUUUCAGUUGGUGAGAGUGUAAGAAAUGAUGCAAAGUGGGGAGUCAGGAAUGGAUUUAGGAGACAGGAGAAUAGGAUGGGUAAGAUUGGAAGAAAAUUUGGGAACUUGUCAUUGAAUGAUGGGAAAGUGGGUGAUUUGGCACCGAAGGUGGAAAUUUAUGGUGGUGGUAGGAGGAGGUAUGGAAAUUCUGGAAGAUUUGGUAAUUUUAAUAUGAAUAAGGUACAUAUUGGUUUGGCUUGGGUGAAAAGGCAGGAAAUCUCUGAUGUAAAUGCUGCUGAAAUUGCUUUCUCAGUCUCUGCUAAACAUAACGAAUGAAACUUUCUAGCAUCUGUUUGUUGGAACAAGUACUUUUGUGCACUAAAUGAGGAUCAUUAAACAAACUGAAAGGCAAAGGCAUGGCUAUAAUUUUUGUCGGCAUCAGAUGUCACGUACUUCAGAGAAGCUUUAUUUAGAGCACAUCUUUCAGCUAGUCGAACAAAUUGAAAUCACUUGGUAGCUAUUGUCAUGGCGGAGUAGACGGAGCCUAACCUGUGCCCCAAGAAUGUGAGAAGAUGAGGGGUGGCUGCAACUCAAACCAGAGCAUAUGUGAAUAUGGUUGUUCGCUAUUUUGAACGUGCAGGCUUAUUUUUAAAGCCGCAGCAAAGCGUUAUUUUCUUGCCGUCUUGCAAACAAUGGGAAUAUGUAAAGAUUGAGUUUUGUUGGUAUGAUAUAUUGUUCAUCCAUCAGACAUAUGAAGAAGAAACUAAGUGCUUGUUUGUGCCCUAUUAUUUGUGGGUAAUAUAUUAUGGAAUUGUGAUUGAUACUGAAAUCUAUGAUUAAAAAAAGAAGGAAAUGUUUUGAUUUA